GAGUUUGAUCAUGGCUCAGGACGAACGCUGGCGGCGUGCCUAACACAUGCAAGUGGAGCGACGAACCGGGCUUCGGCCCGGGGCAAAGCCGCGAACGGGUGAGUAACACGUGGGUAACCUGCCCCGAUGACCGGGACAACUCGAGGAAACUCGGGCUAAUACCGGAUGAGCUCACACCACAUCAGUGGUAUGAGGAAAGGUAGCUUCGGCCUCCGCAUCGGGAUGGGCCCGCGGCCCAUUAGCUUGUUGGUGGGGUAAUGGCCUACCAAGGCUUCGAUGGGUAGCUGGUCUGAGAGGACGAUCAGCCACACUGGGACUGAGACACGGCCCAGACUCCUACGGGAGGCAGCAGUGGGGAAUCUUGCGCAAUGCGCGAAAGCGUGACGCAGCAACGCCGCGUGAGGGAAGAAGGCUCUCGGGUUGUAAACCUCUUUCAGUUGGGACGAAGCUUCGUCGGUUAAUAGCCGGCCGGAGUGACGGUACCUUCAGAAGAAGCCCCGGCUAACUACGUGCCAGCAGCCGCGGUAG
rnacentral:rRNA from 1 species